GAAACAAGGUGGAAAAAAAUAGUACUCGAAUACCAGAGGUAGAGUAAUAUGCUUUAUUAAAAAGCAGCAAAAAUAUCACAAAAACUGUUACUCAGAGUUUUAUGUUCCCGUUUGUUGGACAGUGUUUGUGUAUAUAUAUAUAUAUAUAUAUAUAUA